rnacentral:misc_RNA from 1 species
CCCUUGUGGAGGAGGACGCCGAAGGUGGGGCUAAUGACUGGGGUGAAGUCGUAACAAGGUAGCCGUACCGGAAGGUGCGGCUGGAUCACCUCCUAACAGGGAGACAACAAAAUGUUUAAUAUUAUUAUUUUGUCACCUUAGGUCGAUCGGUAUCUCACGUUUUUAAUUUAUUAAGAAUUUCAUUUCCUAAGUUUUUCUAGGUCACACCCAUUAUUUUUCCUGGGCCAUUAGCUCAGGUGGUUAGAGCGCACCCCUGAUAAGGGUGAGGUCCCUGGUUCAAGUCCAGGAUGGCCCAUAUCUCUAUGUUGGGGGUAUAGCUCAGUUGGUAGAGCGCCUGCUUUGCAAGCAGGAUGUCAGCGGUUCGAGUCCGCUUACCUCCACUGAUUACCACCUCUUCCAUAACCGGUAGAAAGGAAAUGUUUUGAGUUGUGAUCAAAUUCUGAAAGAAUCUAGCUUCCUAAUGAAUUCAUUAAGAUGCUGGACUCAUUGAAUUAAUUUCAUUGUUUUCAGAGAACCUUGACAACUGCAUAGAUUAUUUUUAAAGACAAUAAGUAUCUUUAAUGAUGCAGAUUUAUUAUUUGUGCGAAUGCAUUAAUAACAAUUCUAUUAAGCUGAUGCUUCAAUUUUUGAAGUUAUUGGUCAAGCUACAAAGGGCUCACGGAGGAUACCUAGGCACACAGAGGCGA